ACAUAAACCACGAGUGGCAGCAAGGUCGGUACAUGACCAAAAAAAACAGAAACAGAAACAACACUCAUGGCAUUAACAAUUAGUUAUUUUUCUUGUUGUCGUCUUUGCUUUGCAAACAAUUAGUUCUUCAACUGUGAUUUGAACUCUAUUGUUAUUUGAAGUUUUUUCUAUUGUUAUUUGUCAAUUUGAUAUGCAUUUCAGGUUGGACAAUUGAGAGGGUAUCAAAGAAGGUUCAAAGUACAAAAUUGAAAUUGUUUUUGGACUGGUUAUGGUAUCCUUGGUCAGCCGCUUCCUAGUUGCUUAAGUACCUCACUGCUUUGUAGAAGAUUGUACCAACCUUUUUACUUGUUGUCUCAAAGGACAAUGUCAGGGUCAUUAUUGAAGUAUUUGUCAAAGUUGCAGGUUGAUGAAGAGCCAGCAAUUAGAACAAAUACUACCAUAUUAUUAGGCAAUAUUGGAAGUUACUUAAAUGAAGGAACAAUAAAAGAGUUUUGAUUAAUGCAUUUACAAUUCGUGCAUUACGUGAUACUUUUCCACCUGCUAGAGGAGCAGGAAUUAUGGCUUUAUGCGCCACCAGUUCCUACUAUGACAUCACUGAAGUUGCAACUCGGAUUCUUCCUAAUGUUGUUGUGCUCACAAUUGAUCCUAACAGGGUGUUUGGGAGGCACAAAUAUUAGAAGGGAAAAGGAGAUCGAGGAACAUGAGUGAAGUUGGAGUUGGGGGGGGGGGGUUGCGUGAGCGGUGCAGGAAUGAUUUGCAGAGGAACCUUACUUUCACCAAGUGUAUAACAAUAAUAAUCAAUUUUAGCAUGAAUGAUUUGCAGAUGAACCUUACUUCUUUAAUUUACUUAGCACUUGCAAUUUCUUUUUUGGGAUA